UAGGGAAUCUUCCGCAAUGGACGAAAGUCUGACGGAGCAACGCCGCGUGAGUGAAGAAGGAUUUCGGUUCGUAAAACUCUGUUGUUAAGGAAGAAAAAAUGUAUAGUAACUAUAUACAAAAGAGACGGUACCUAACCAGAAAGCCACGGCUAACUACGUGCCAGCAGCCGCGGUAAUACGUAGGUGGCAAGCGUUGUCCGGAAUUAUUGGGCGUAAAGCGCGCGCAGGUGGUUUAGAAAGUCUGAUGUGAAAGCCCACGGCUCAACCGUGGAGGGUCAUUGGAAACUAAUAAACUUGAGUGCAGGAGAGAAAAGUGGAAUUCCUAGUGUAGCGGUGAAAUGCGUAGAGAUUAGGAGGAACACCGGUGGCGAAAGCGGCUUUUUGGCCUGCAACUGACACUGAGGCGCGAAAGCGUGGGGAGCAAACAGG
rnacentral:rRNA from 1 species